CGCCCACCUCCUCCUCUCAAAUCAACAAGUCUAACCGUUGCGUGGACGCCAUUUUUUUCCUGCUCGAAUGACUGCGGAACCAUGUUGAUUAAAACAAGACUUGGCGAACAACAAACAUUUGUCUGACUAACAGAGCCAUUUCUGAAGGAGUUUUUGAUUACAGCAUCUGCAAAAUUUGGCGUGCCAGCUAUAAGAGGGCGUGAAGGUUGUUGACAGUUCUGGGACUGAGUUGGAUGAGGAUGUGGUUAAGGAUCCCUUGGCUGGAGUCCUAACCAUCAAAUAUGAAACUGGUUUGUUACAUUUGUCAUUUAUGUUAGUAUUUAAUGAGCUUGCUAAUUCAUUGUGGUUAGUGUUUUUGUCUUUCAUCUGCUUCUCUUGUCUCCUUGGUGGAAUCGCCUGAGGAAUCUUAGCCAAGCUCGUCUGAUUCUCAAGAGAUACUCAUUCUUUCAGAGAGUCCUUCUGCUAAACAAGCAGCAGCUAGACACAGAACCUGAACAAGAUCUCACCACGCAGAGAGGUUAAAGAAAUGUAUUCCAGAGGAAUUGUGAGCUUAUUUCCCUACCUCGUUGAUCCAUUCUCCAGGAAAGGUUAUGAGCAUUAUUACGAUCCUGCAAGUGGUAUCGGGUACUUAGCCUGGAGGAUAAAAACUAUUCAAAGAUCCACUGCUAGAGACAGACGAACAUCAUAUGGAGCAAAAUGCAAAGAAGCAAUGCGUGAACAUGGGCUUGGGGGACCAGCUGUCAGACAGGAGACCCAGUUUGUUCCAGAGACUGUCCUGAGUGAAGAAGAGUGUAAGGAAGCCAUCACAGUGAUUAAGUAUUCAGCCGAUGAGGACACAAUCAAGAAGAAGAUGAAGCUCACAUUUGACUUCCGGCGCAACACGGUCCUCUACCCCCAACAGCCAAGCAAAAUACUCUGUCUUUUCACGUUUCAAAGAUGUCAAAGG